rnacentral:rRNA from 1 species
GACGAACGCUGGCGGCGUGCCUAAUACAUGCAAGUAGAACGCUGAAGGAGGAGCUUGCUUCUCUGGAUGAGUUGCGAACGGGUGAGUAACGCGUAGGUAACCUGCCUGGUAGCGGGGGAUAACUAUUGGAAACGAUAGCUAAUACCGCAUAAUAGUAGAUGUUGCAUGACAUUUGCUUAAAAGGUGCAAUUGCAUCACUACCAGAUGGACCUGCGUUGUAUUAGCUAGUUGGUGGGGUAACGGCUCACCAAGGCGACGAUACAUAGCCGACCUGAGAGGGUGAUCGGCCACACUGGGACUGAGACACGGCCCAGACUCCUACGGGAGGCAGCAGUAGGGAAUCUUCGGCAAUGGACGGAAGUCUGACCGAGCAACGCCGCGUGAGUGAAGAAGGUUUUCGGAUCGUAAAGCCCUGUUGUAAGAGAAGAACGAGUGUGAGAGUGGAAAGUUCACACUGUGACGGUAUCUGACCAGAAAGGGACGGCUAACUACGUG